UACGUAGGGGGCUAGCGUUGUUCGGAAUCACUGGGCGUAAAGGGCGCGUAGGCGGCCUGAUAAGUCGGGGGUGAAAGCCUGUGGCUCAACCACAGAAUUGCCUUCGAUACUGUUAGGCUUGAGACCGGAAGAGGUAAGUGGAACUGCGAGUGUAGAGGUGAAAUUCGUAGAUAUUCGCAAGAACACCAGUGGCGAAGGCGGCUUACUGGUCCGGUCCUGACGCUGAGGCGCGAAAGCGUGGGGAGCAAACAGG
rnacentral:rRNA from 1 species